AGAUAUGAUAAGGGAGGGUGAUAAGAGUGAUCCACCUGGGCUCUUCCCAGAAAAGAAGUCCGAAAGCUAAGUUAAGUCACCUUAGCCUCAUCAAAGAGAAAACAGAUCACUGAGGAGCAUGUGGGCAUUCUUCAGAGGACCAAGUCAAGAAACGUUCUGUCAUCCAAGGAACUGCAUCAGAUCAUAUCUGGUGAUCAUGCACUGACUCCAUAGCAGAAUCCAAGACUGGGCCUUCCUGCCUGCCUCCCCACAGACUCCCUCCAGCUAUACCACUUGUACUUAGUGUAUCCAUCUCUGAGCGGAUUGCAAAAGGGAAGGAAUCUUCUUUAAAAGAGAGGCAUGGACUUCUCGCUCUUCUCUCCCCACAGCUGUAUCCAGGGGUGUGCUUGUAAACUCUUGUUGCUCCCCAGAAGACUGUGCAAUGCCUCAUUCUCCCACUGAGUUUAAAAUUUUGCCUUGACCUGAGAGACACUGGGGGAGAUCAUUGUCUGCCACUAGGAGGAAAAAAAUACUUUGUUGAAACAAAGGAAAUUUCAGAGAUGAGGAUUAAGUUUGACCAACCAUUUGUUGAAGCAAAGAAGAAAGAUAGUUGGAAAUUAAAAGAAAUUUGACCAAAUUCAGAACUCUCCAAAAUGGAAGGCAACUGGAGAUAAUGUGGUCCAGUUCCAUACCUAAAUCAAAGUCAAUGCAGAUUAGGUUGUUCAGGCCCAUGUCCAGUUGAGUUUUGGAUCUCCUCAAGGAUGGGAAAAUCACAACCCCUCUGAGAAGGCUUUGACUACCCUCACAGCCCCAAAGAUUUUAUUUAAUACAGAAAUUGAACUUCCUGUAUUUCAAUCUGUAGGAC